AUAAUGUGAUUGUGAGCCAUCAUGCCAUCUUCUUAGAAAAAGAGUUUAUCCAAGAUAGAGGCAAUGAGAGAAAAAUUGAGCUCGAAGAGAAAGUCUCUAAGGAGCAUCGAGUCCAAGAACUUGAAUCCAAUAAUGAGCCAGUAGAUGUGAUACCUCCACCUCAUAGAUCAAGUAAGAUCUCCUAUCCUCCUAAAAGGUACUUAGGUAUUCUUAUAGAAGAUUUAGAGAAAAUAUUCCUUGUGGG
rnacentral:lncRNA from 1 species